rnacentral:tRNA from 1 species
GGAAUGUAGCUCAGAGGUAGAGCCUGUGCUUAGUAUGUAUAAGGCCCUGGGUUUUAAUCCCAUCACUUUCG